rnacentral:rRNA from 1 species
AAAUUGAAGAGUUUGAUCAUGGCUCAGAUUGAACGCUGGCGGCAGGCCUAACACAUGCAAGUCGAGCGGUAGCACAGAGAGCUUGCUCUCGGGUGACGAGCGGCGGACGGGUGAGUAAUGUCUGGGAAACUGCCUGAUGGAGGGGGAUAACUACUGGAAACGGUAGCUAAUACCGCAUAACGUCGCAAGACCAAAGUGGGGGACCUUCGGGCCUCAUGCCAUCAGAUGUGCCCAGAUGGGAUUAGCUAGUAGGUGGGGUAACGGCUCACCUAGGCGACGAUCCCUAGCUGGUCUGAGAGGAUGACCAGCCACACUGGAACUGAGACACGGUCCAGACUCCUACGGGAGGCAGCAGUGGGGAAUAUUGCACAAUGGGCGCAAGCCUGAUGCAGCCAUGCCGCGUGUGUGAAGAAGGCCUUCGGGUUGUAAAGCACUUUCAGCGGGGAGGAAGGCGAUAAGGUUAAUAACCUUGUCGAUUGACGUUACCCGCAGAAGAAGCACCGGCUAACUCCGUGCCAGCAGCCGCGGUAAUACGGAGGGUGCAAGCGUUAAUCGGAAUUACUGGGCGUAAAGCGCACGCAGGCGGUCUGUCAAGUCGGAUGUGAAAUCCCCGGGCUUAACCUGGGAACUGCAUUCGAAACUGGCAGGCUAGAGUCUUGUAGAGGGGGUAGAAUUCCAGGUGUAGCGGUGAAAUGCGUAGAGAUCUGGAGGAAUACCGGUGGCGAAGGCGGCCCCCUGGACAAAGACUGACGCUCAGGUGCGAAAGCGUGGGGAGCAAACAGGAUUAGAUACCCUGGUAGUCCACGCCGUAAACGAUGUCGAUUUGGAGGUUGUGCCCUUGAGGCGUGGCUUCCGGAGCUAACGCGUUAAAUCGACCGCCUGGGGAGUACGGCCGCAAGGUUAAAACUCAAAUGAAUUGACGGGGGCCCGCACAAGCGGUGGAGCAUGUGGUUUAAUUCGAUGCAACGCGAAGAACCUUACCUGGUCUUGACAUCCACAGAACUUUCCAGAGAUGGAUUGGUGCCUUCGGGAACUGUGAGACAGGUGCUGCAUGGCUGUCGUCAGCUCGUGUUGUGAAAUGUUGGGUUAAGUCCCGCAACGAGCGCAACCCUUAUCCUUUGUUGCCAGCGGUUAGGCCGGGAACUCAAAGGAGACUGCCAGUGAUAAACUGGAGGAAGGUGGGGAUGACGUCAAGUCAUCAUGGCCCUUACGACCAGGGCUACACACGUGCUACAAUGGCAUAUACAAAGAGAAGCGACCUCGCGAGAGCAAGCGGACCUCAUAAAGUAUGUCGUAGUCCGGAUUGGAGUCUGCAACUCGACUCCAUGAAGUCGGAAUCGCUAGUAAUCGUAGAUCAGAAUGCUACGGUGAAUACGUUCCCGGGCCUUGUACACACCGCCCGUCACACCAUGGGAGUGGGUUGCAAAAGAAGUAGGUAGCUUAACCUUCGGGAGGGCGCUUACCACUUUGUGAUUCAUGACUGGGGUGAAGUCGUAACAAGGUAACCGUAGGGGAACCUGCGGUUGGAUCACCUCCUUA